ACGCGGCCACGCCGUAAAACACCCAACUUCUGAACGUUGACCUCGGAUCAGGUAGGACUACCCGCUGAACUUAAGCAUAUCAAUA
rnacentral:rRNA from 1 species